rnacentral:rRNA from 1 species
UACGAAGGGGGCUAGCGUUGCUCGGAAUCACUGGGCGUAAAGGGUGCGUAGGCGGGUUUUUAAGUCAGAGGUGAAAUCCUGGAGCUCAACUCCAGAACUGCCUUCGAUACUGAGAGUCUCGAGUCCGGGAGAGGUGAGUGGAGCUGCGAGUGUAGAGGUGAAAUUCGUAGAUAUUCGCAAGAACACCAGUGGCGAAGGCGGCUUACUGGUCCGGUUUCUGACGCUGAGGCGCGAAAGCGUGGGGAGCAAACAGG